AAACCGUAAGCGUGCAGCCGCUGUGUAACUUCAGGUUACGCAGAGGAAAGUCCGAACUUCACAGGGCAGGGUGCCGAACAAGAUGCCGGAUAUGGAUAGUGAAAACUGUCCCUGUUCUCAUACAAGUUCGGGAAGAACGGGGAAAACCCGUUUUUACAGACAGUGCAACAGAAAGUAUACCGCUUCGGAAAACCGAAGUAAGGGUGAAACGGCGGUGUAAGAGACCACCGGAUGUUCCGGCAACGGGACAUGCCUGGCAAACCUCCCCGAAGCAAGGCUAAAUAGGAAAACUUUUCUCCUCCGGGAGAAAGAGAGCGGCCCGUUCAAUUCCCUUUAAAGGGAGAGUUCUCGGGUAAGCCGCACCAGAUAAAUGGCUGCAGCUUCAUAUCUCAAGGGAUAUGAUUCACAGAAUUCGGCUUACAGCUUCGGUUUCGGC
rnacentral:RNase_P_RNA from 1 species